rnacentral:rRNA from 1 species
AUGAGGUUAAGAAAAAAGGAAAAACCAGAUUGGUUUUCUAAAGCAGAUGAAAUAUGUUUCCCUAGUGAUUUUGGCAUUAGUGAUGAAGAUGAGCCUGAAGGAUCCUAUAAAGUACCAGGUGGUAGGAAGAGAAGGAAUAAAAAUUUGAAGGACAUGAUAUGGUUUAAUGGCAUACUUCCAGGACCAGUAGGACAAUUUUGUAAGGGAUUGUGCUUCACUAGUGUCUAUGAGUUCAGAAAUGCACUUAGGGAUUUCCACAUUAGGACUUUGAGGAUUUUUCAAUAUCAUAGAAAUGCCCCUAAUAGGAUUAUUGUUUGCUCUCGGAGAGAGCCCAGGGAUGUGACUUUUAUAUCGAUGCCUCUAAGUUAG